AUGAGAAACGAGGUAGUGGCUUUUUAUCAAUCAUUGAAGAUUGCACUGCAGUUCCGUCAUAUUUCUGGACGUUCAGUUAUCUCUGGCUUCGAAGAGCAAGUGGAAAGCCUUCGGUUUGAUUUUAACCCCCACAAGGACUUGGUCGGUGUCUAUCUUGAGUUAUGGAAACGGGAUGCUAAGAAAAAGGUGAAUUUGGGUGAGGCUUUGAGGCAAUUGUAUGAAGAUGACGUUUUCCCCUCCCGCAAGGCUUUGAUCAAAUAUGCUCUGGAUAGCUGUCCAGACACCAGUUUGAUAAAACAUAAUUACGAUACCUAUGUGGAUGGCAUUGAUGAGAAGCUUCCGGAAGACGAAGCUCAUCCCUUGAUCAUGGAGGCCGUUAAGAAAAUGGCUAGUUGA
rnacentral:rRNA from 1 species